rnacentral:rRNA from 1 species
AACGAACGCUGGCGGCAGGCCUAACACAUGCAAGUCGAACGCUCCGCAAGGGGAGUGGCGCACGGGUGAGUAACACGUGGGAACCUACCUUCUGGUACGGAACAACCAAGGGAAACUUUGGCUAAGACCGUAUACGACCUCCGGGUGAAAGAUUGAUCGCCGGAAGAGGGGCCCGCGUCCGAUUAGGUAGUUGGUGAGGUGACGGCUCACCAAGCCUUCGAUCGGUAGCUGGUCUGAGAGGAUGACCAGCCACACUGGGACUGAGACACGGCCCAGACUCCUACGGGAGGCAGCAGUGGGGAAUAUUGGACAAUGGGCGCAAGCCUGAUCCAGCCAUGCCGCGUGAGUGAUGAAGGCCU